UACGAAGGGGGCUAGCGUUGUUCGGAUUUACUGGGCGUAAAGCGCACGUAGGCGGCUUGUUAAGUGAGGGGUGAAAUCCCAGGGCUCAACCCUGGAACUGCCUUUCAUACUGGCAAUCUCGAGUCCGGAAGAGGUGAGUGGAACUCCUAGUGUAGAGGUGGAAUUCGUAGAUAUUAGGAAGAACACCAGUGGCGAAGGCGGCUCACUGGUCCGGUACUGACGCUGAGGUGCGAAAGCGUGGGGAGCAAACAGG
rnacentral:rRNA from 1 species